CCUACGGGUGGCAGCAGUGAGGAAUAUUGGUCAAUGGGCGGGAGCCUGAACCAGCCAAGUCGCGUGAGUGAAGAAGUAUUUCGGUACGUAAAGCUCUAUCAGCAGGAAAGAAAAUGACGGUACCUGACUAAGAAGCCCCGGCUAACUACGUGCCAGCAGCCGCGGUAAUACGUCGGGGGCAAGCGUUAUCCGGAUUUACUGGGUGUAAAGGGAGCGUAGACGGCAGCGCAAGUCUGGAGUGAAAUGCCGGGGCCCAACCCCGGAACUGCUCUGGAAACUGUGAAGCUGGAGUGCAGGAGAGGUAAGCGGAAUGCCUGGUGUAGCGGUGAAAUGCGUAGAUAUCAGGAGGAACACCGGCGGCGAAGGCGGCUUACUGGACUGUAACUGACGUUGAGGCUCGAAGGCGUGGGGAGCAAACAGGAUUAGAUACCCGAGUAGUC
rnacentral:rRNA from 1 species